UUUUUGUCCAACAGUUUUGUGAAAAAAAUUAGCCAAUUUAUAUCAUGAAUGAAACUUGAAAAAUAUAAUGGGGGUUACUCCCUGCACCUCCCCAAUUCCAACCCCCACCCUCCAUUCCAUUUUUACCCUUUCCUCUAUCUUUUCUAUUCCAAUUUUAUCCUUUAGCAAAAAUUUAUAUUUAGAAAUACAAUUUUAUAAUUUUAUUCUCCCACCC
rnacentral:lncRNA from 1 species